CAAAACAAAAUGAUUCUUUUCUUGCUGCAUACUUUUAGGAGCAAGAUUUUUAGCACUAGUUAUUAACCAAAUGGAAAUUCAAAAUCGAUUGAGUAUCCAGAGAUAACACAAACAUACCAGAUCAUGAACUACAAAACUACAGCAUUCCUAUCAAGCUGAACAGAAGCAAUGAGAUUUACUUUUGAACACAAUUAGAUGAAAAAACUGAUGCAUGAAGAGGUUAAGUAAGCUCUCCAGUGGAAUGCAAGAAGAACAAGAGCUGUGAUUCAAGAAACCUACACUUUUAAUCCACAUACUCUAAGAAUUCUUCAUAGCAAACCUGCAAAUGUGUAUACUGACAUGUUUAAGGGGGACUUUUAUAGCUUUAAAUGAUUUUAUUCUGAAAAACAUAUGAAAAGAAAUCAGUUGUAGUAAUGGAAAACAAAGUAUACAAAAAAUUGGAAUGAUGGUAAUAAAGAUUGAGGUUAAAGAAAUAAAAAGAAUGAAAUUGAA